AUUGAACGCUGGCGGCAGGCCUAACACAUGCAAGUCGAACGAGUGGCGGACGGGUGAGUAAUGUCUGGGAAACUGCCCGAUGGAGGGGUAUAACUACUGGAAACGGUAGAUAAUACCGCAUAACAUCCUAUGUGCCCAGAUGGGAGUAGCUAGUAGGUGGGGUAACGGCUCACCUAGGCGAAGAUCCCUAGCUGGUCUGAGAGGAUGACCAGCCACACUGGAACUGAGACACGGGCCAGACUCCUACGGGAGGCAGCAGUGGGGAAUAUUGCACAAUGGGCGCAAGACUGAUGCAGCCAUGCCGCGUGUAUGAAGAAGGCGUUCGGGUUGUAAAGUACUUUCAGCGGGGAGGCGUUACCCGCAGAAGAAGCACCGGCUAACUCCGUGCCAGCAGCCGCGGUAAUUC
rnacentral:rRNA from 1 species